GUCCCACGUCGGGCUCCCUGCAUGCCUGCUUCUCCCUCUGCCUCUCUCUGUGUCUCUCUUAUGAAUAAAGAAAUAAAAUAUUUUUUUAAAUCUUUUAAAAUAUACAUAUAUUAAUAAAUAAUCCAGGGAGAUUCUGUGUACUCUUCAUCCAGUUUCUCCCAAUGGAAAUAGCUUACAAAAGUGUAGUACAAUAUUACAAUCCAGACAUUGACAUUAAUAUAGUCAAGAUACAGAAUGUUUCCAUUUCAUUGCUUCCAGGUUACUUUAUAGCCACACCCACUUCCUUUCCUUAAGCUCUGGCAACAGCUAACCUGUUCUCCUCUAUAUAACUUAGUCCUUUCAAGAAUGUUAUAUAAAUGCAAUCAUACAGUACAUAGCAUUUUGGGAUUCUGACCCCAGGAUCAUGCCCCGGGUCAAAGGCAGGCGCUAAACCGCUGAGCCACCCAGGGAUCCCCAAAGUUCUUAAUUUUAACGAAGCCCAGCUUAUUGGUGUUUCCUUUAUGAAUCAUGCUUUUGGAGUCAGAUCAAGAACUCUUAGCUCUACAUCCUGAGAAUUUUCUCCUGUGCUUUUUCUAAAAAUUUUGUAGGUUUACAUUUAAGUCUGUGAUCCAUUUUGAGUUUAUUUUUGUGUAAGGUGUGAAACUUAGUUUGAGGUUCUCCUCCCACCCCCACCCCCCUUUGGAUGUUCAAUUGCUGCAGCAUCGCAUGACUCGAUGCAAUAAUGGAUGACUCCUUGGGUCAGAGUACAGCAGAAAGCAAGCUGAGGACAAAGCACAAGCUGACACCCCACAAACCGCCCUCUGCCCCACUCCCAGGUUUUAUUUAUUUGACAGAGUACAAGCAGAGGGAGGAGCAGGCAGGAGAGGGAGAAGCAAGCUCCCCACCGAGCAGGGAGCUCAAUGCGUGGCUCAUCUCAGAACUUGGGAUCAUGACCUGAGCAGAAGGCAGACACUUAACCGAACGAGCCACAGAGGCAUCCCUCAGUGAACAAAUGUCUUAGUGAUUUACAAAGAAAAAGUAUCUUCUCAAUAACCUAACUUUCAAAACCCCAUAGACUCAAUGUCCUGGAGCCCUAACAUCACUUUCCCCUCCAUAGUGAAGUGGGAAACAAAGGUAGAAGGGAAUGUAAAUAAAAUAAAAUUUCCUUAUAACAUGAAGCCCGUUGACAAAUAAUUUAGGCAAGCGGAAUAUAACAUCCCUCCAGGAAACUCCCGCUGUCUUAAUGUUAAUGCUUUGCUAGAGGGAAAAACCACCUUAGCUCAACAAUAGCCAGGCCUCCAGUAUCCGGAGAGUCUUUUUUAGCAUAGCAAAGUUUUUGACACUUCCCUUUCUACUUACCUCCCCCAACUCCCAAGUAUGAUCUGCCAUUCCUCACAACCCCAGUGCGGCAGCUCUUUCUGCCCACAGGUCCUGUCCCCAUGCUUUUAAUAAAAUCAUCUUUUUGCACCCA